rnacentral:rRNA from 1 species
GACGAACGCUGGCGGCGUGCUUAACACAUGCAAGUCGAACGGAAAGGCCCUGCUUUUGUGGGGUGCUCGAGUGGCGAACGGGUGAGUAACACGUGAGUAACCUGCCCUUGACUUUGGGAUAACUUCAGGAAACUGGGGCUAAUACCGGAUAGGAGCUCCUGCUGCAUGGUGGGGGUUGGAAAGUUUCGGCGGUUGGGGAUGGACUCGCGGCUUAUCAGCUUGUUGGUGGGGUAGUGGCUUACCAAGGCUUUGACGGGUAGCCGGCCUGAGAGGGUGACCGGCCACAUUGGGGCUGAGAUACGGCCCAGACUCCUACGGGAGGCAGCAGUGGGGAAUAUUGCACAAUGGGCGGAAGCCUGAUGCAGCAACGCCGCGGGCGGGAUGACGGCCUUCGGGUUGGAAACCGCUUUCGCCUGUGACGAAGCGUGAGUGACGGUAAUGGGUAAAGAAGCACAGGCUAACUACGUGC